rnacentral:rRNA from 1 species
AGUGAACGCUGGCGGUAGGCCUAACACAUGCCAGUCGAACGGCAGCACAGUAAGAGCUUGCUCUUACGGGUGGCGAGUGGCGGACGGGUGAGGAAUACAUCGGAAUCUACUUUUUCGUGGGGGAUAACGUAGGGAAACUUACGCUAAUACCGCAUACGACCUACGGGUGAAAGCAGGGGAUCUUCGGACCUUGCGCGAUUGAAUGAGCCGAUGUCGGAUUAGCUAGUUGGCGGGGUAAAGGCCCACCAAGGCGACGAUCCGUAGCUGGUCUGAGAGGAUGAUCAGCCACACUGGAACUGAGACACGGUACAGACUCCUACGGGAGGCAGCAGUGGGGAAUAUUGGACAAUGGGCGCAAGCCUGAUCCAGCCAUACCGCGUGAGUGAAGAAGACCUUCGGGUUGUAAAGCCCUUUUGUUGGGAAAGAAAAGCAGCAGGUUAAUACCCCGCUGUUCUGACGGUACCCAAAGAAUAAGCACCGGCUAACUUCGUG